rnacentral:rRNA from 1 species
GACGAACGCUGGCGGCGUGCUUAACACAUGCAAGUCGAGCGGUAAGGCCCUUUUGGGGGUACACGAGCGGCGAACGGGUGAGUAACACGUGGGUGACCUGCCCUCAGCUCUGGGAUAAGCCUGGGAAACCGGGUCUAAUACCGGAUAUGACUCCAUGACGCAUGUUGUGGGGUGGAAAGCCUUGUGCGGCUGAGGAUGGGCCCGCGGCCUAUCAGCUUGUUGGUGGGGUGAUGGCCUACCAAGGCGACGACGGGUAGCCGGCCUGAGAGGGCGACCGGCCACACUGGGACUGAGACACGGCCCAGACUCCUACGGGAGGCAGCAGUGGGGAAUCUUGCGCAAUGGGCGAAAGCCUGACGCAGCGACGCCGCGUGAGGGAUGACGGCCU